AAGAAACAAACACGCUUUUCCUCUGGUAAAGACUGCUAGAAAUCAAACAAGGACUGGUUAAAAGCUGUGUGAGGGAGAGUUAAGCCGCAUGGCAGCAAACUUCUCAAGAUACCUCCGAUUGGUUUUUAGAACGGGAUAGACCAACCGCAGAAGUGAAUGGAUCAAGAGUGGCAUCUUUGGAACCAGCAUCAUCCCGUGCCUUCAUUUGUGAUACAGAUAAGAACACACGUAAACCUACCCAGGUAGUGAAGAGAACAUACUCUAGGAAACACACACACCCACACACCAAGAACUUCCAUGGACUGAGCUCCUCACCCUAUCUUUAAGGGAGCGCCCAGCCACCCUGCGGAGGAAACUCAUUUCGGCCGCCUGUAUCCAGGAUGUUGUCCUUUUGGUCAUGACCCAAAGCUCAUGACCAUAGGUGAGGGUAGGAACGUAGAUCGACUGGUAAAUAGA